UACAGAGGUCUCAAGCGUUGUUCGGAUUCAUUGGGCGUAAAGGGUGCGUAGGCGGCGCGGUAAGUCGGGUGUGAAAUCUCGGAGCUUAACUCCGAAACUGCAUUCGAUACUGCCGUGCUUGAGGACUGGAGAGGAGACUGGAAUUUACGGUGUAGCGGUGAAAUGCGUAGAUAUCGUAAGGAAGACCAGUGGCGAAGGCGGGUCUCUGGACAGUGCCUGACGCUGAGACGCGAAAGCCAGGGGAGCGAACGGG
rnacentral:rRNA from 1 species